AUGUUCGUGGCGCGGCCCAUGAAGAGCUGUUUUACGAAGCUGUUCCUCCAAAAAAAGGAGCACACUGCUAUUCGCGCCUCCUACCAGCGCCGCGGGAGCUUCUUCGGCAUGCGUGUCACGGCGCGGCGCGCCGGCGUCUUCGGAACGGUGGACUCCCGGCCUCCCAAGUCGCUGGCGGACGCGGCGCGCGCGCUCUGUGGCUGCUCCCACGACAAGGGCAUCGCUUCCGGGAACAGGCUGAUGGGCGCCCACCUGAGGGCCGGCAGGCCGGGCGCUGCUCGAGAGGUGUUCGACGGAAUGCCGCGGCGCGACGUGGUGUCCUGGAACUCCCUCAUGGCCGCGCACGCGCGGGAGGGCGCGCACCAGGAGGCUGCAUACGCCUUCCUGGAGUUGAGGCGUCGCGGGCUCCGGCCGGACCACACCUCCUUCUCCACCGUGCUGUCCGCCGUCGCGCGGCUGGAGGCUCUGGAGCUGGGGCGAUGCGUCCAUGGCCUCGCGCUCAAGUCCUGCUCCACGGGUAAUGUGUUCGUGGGCGCCUCUCUCGUCACCCUGUACGCCAACUGUGGGGUUUUCGGUUGCCUGCAGCGAGUCUUUGAUGACGUCGACACGCCAAAUGUGGCCUUGUGGAAUGCUCUUCUAUCAGGCCUCGUGAUGAACCAUCGGGUAGCAGACGCCCGCAGGGUUUUCGAUGAGAUGCCCGGUCGCAAUGUCGUGUCCUGGACGGCCAUGGUAAAGGGCUAUGUUACGGUGCACGAGGUGGAGCUGGCGUUGGAGCUGUUUGACUCGAUGCCCGUGAAGAAUUCUGUGUCGUGGUGUGUCAUGAUAGGAGGGCUUGUCCACCAUCAGCGAUUCAGAGAGGCAGUUGAACUGUUCAGAAGAUUGAUGCGGAAUGGGGAGGAAAUGACAAAUGCAGUUCUAGUUAAGGUUGUGAAUGCGUAUGCUGGUCUGAAAAGUAUCGGAGGAGGUAGAUGCAUUCAUGGGUUUUCUGUGAAGUGUGGAUUUGUUCUUGACCUGAUUAUCGAGGCAUCAUUAGUUGCGAUGUACUGUAACUCCUUGGACAUGGAUGAAGCACAAUUGGAGUUUGAUAAAAUGGACAGAAAGCAUGUCGGUUCAUGGAAUGCCAUCAUAUGUGGCUAUAUUUAUGCAGACAAGAUUGAUGAGGCUAGAGAACUUUUUGAUUCCAUGACUGAAAGAGAUAAGGUCUCGUGGAACUCGAUGAUUAAUGGCUAUAUCAGAGAUGGAAGAAUUACUGAUGCUACUGAGUUAUACUCAAGGAUGCCUGAGAAGAACGUGGAAGCAGCUACUGCUUUGAUGUCAUGGUUUGUAGACAACGGAAUGCUAGAUAAAGCACGGGAUAUGUUUUAUAGUAUGCCCCAAACAGAUGUAAUGUCUUGCACAUCUUUACUCUUUGGAUACAUGAAAGAAGGAUAUCUGGAUGAUGCACUGGACCUUUUCCAUAGGAUGAACAAAAGGACUGUUGUCACUUAUAAUGUGAUGAUAGCUGGUUUUCUUCAUCAAGGCGAGGCUACUGAAGCUUACAGGCUCUUCAAUGAAUCACCUUCUCGUGAUUCAGUAACUUGGAGCUGUUUAAUUACUGGGCUCGCUCAAAAUGGUUUAACUGAUGAUGCAAUUGGGAUGUACAAGAAAAUGCUAUUAACAUAUGUGCGCCCAAGCGAGUCAGUUGUUUCUAGCCUCAUAAGCUGUUUUGCACACUAUUCUAUGAUUGUUCAUGGUCAGCAGUUUCAUGCCGCAACUAUCAAGCUUGGACUCGAGUUAUGUUUACCAAUUCAGAAUUCACUCAUUAGCCUAUAUUGCAAAUGUGGCGAAAUGGUUACAGCCCAAAAUAUUUUUGAUCAGAUGAUUAAGAGAGAUGUGGUUACAUGGAAUACAAUAAUUCAUGGAUUUGCAUUCAGUAGCCUUGGUGAAAAUGCUAUUGAAAUGUUCGAGAAUAUGAAGAGGGCACAAGUUGAUCCCAAUGAUAUCACAUUUCUUGGUGUACUGUCUGCAUGUAACCACAUGAGUCUUUUAGAGGAAGCAAGACAUUUCUUUGACACGAUGACGCGCGAUCAUGGAAUUGUGCCUAAUAUAACGCACUAUGCUUGCAUGGUUGAUCUAUUUUGUAGGAGAGGCAUGGUUGAGGAGGCCGAAGGGUUAGUUAAGUCAAUGCCAUUUGAACCUGAUUCAGCAAUAUGGACCUCUCUCUUGAGUAGCUGCAGAUUGAGUGGCAAUGAUAAGUUGGCAGAGCAUGCAGCAAGUCAGUUAAUCGCCAUAAAUCCUUCUGCUAAAAUGCCUUAUCUGCACCUCAUCAGUGUACAUGGAUCAACAAAUAGAUGGGGCGUCAUUGAUAGUCUAAGAAGUCAAAUUAGGAGAACUGCCACUGAGAAAGAAGUUGGUUAUAGCUGGAUUUAG
rnacentral:rRNA from 1 species